rnacentral:rRNA from 1 species
CCCUUAGAUGUCCUGGGCCGCACGCGCGUUACACUGAUGCCUUCAACGAGCUUAUAACCUUGGCCGAGAGGCCUGGGCAAUCUUGUUAACGUGCAUCGUGAUAGGGAUGGAUUAUUGAAAUUAUUAAUCUUGAACGAGGAAUUCCUAGUAAACGCAGAUCAUCAAUCUGCAUUGAUUACGUCCCUGCCCUUUGUACACACCGCCCGUCGCACCUACCGAUUGGAUGGUCCGGUGAAGCCUCGGGAUUGUGGUUCUUGCCGCUUUAUUGUGGCGUGACCGCGAGAACUUGUCUAAACCUUAUCAUCUAGAGGAAGGUGAAGUCGUAACA